GACAGAGGGUGCAAACGUUGUUCGGAAUUACUGGGCGUAAAGCGUGUGUAGGCUGCCGCGCAAGUCGGAUGUGAAAUCCCCGGGCUCAACCCGGGAAGUGCACCCGAAACUGCGUGGCUUGAGUACCGGAGAGGUUGGUGGAAUUCUCGGUGUAGAGGUGAAAGUCGUAGAUAUCGAGAGGAACACCGGUGGCGAAGGCGGCCAACUGGACGAGUACUGACGCUGAGACACGAAAGCGUGGGGAGCAAACAGG
rnacentral:rRNA from 1 species